rnacentral:rRNA from 1 species
CCUACGGGAGGCAGCAGUGGGGAAUAUUGGACAAUGGGCGAAAGCCUGAUCCAGCAAUGCCGCGUGAGUGAUGAAGGCCUUCGGGUCGUAAAGCUCUUUUACCAGGGAUGAUAAUGACAGUACCUGGAGAAUAAGCUCCGGCUAACUCCGUGCCAGCAGCCGCGGUAAUACGGAGGGAGCUAGCGUUGUUCGGAAUUACUGGGCGUAAAGAGUACGUAGGCGGUUAUUCAAGUCAGAGGUGAAAGCCCGGGGCUCAACCCCGGAACUGCCUUUGAAACUAGAUAACUAGAGUCUUGGAGAGGUUAGUGGAAUUCCGAGUGUAGAGGUGAAAUUCGUAGAUAUUCGGAAGAACACCAGUGGCGAAGGCGACUAACUGGACAAGUACUGACGCUGAGGUACGAAAGCGUGGGGAGCAAACAGGAUUAGAUACCCUGGUAGUCCACGCCGUAAACGAUGAUAACUAGUUGUUCGGUCACUUGGUGACUGAGUGACGCAGCUAACGCAUUAAGUUAUCCGCCUGGGGAGUACGGUCGCAAGAUUAAACUUAAAGGAAUUGACGG